GCUUUUCCUCACUUCUCUUCCAUUGCGAAUCAUGGCCUGUGGCUGACCACCUGUGCAACCUUGGGAAGGUCAACUUUUCUAAAGCUCAGUUUCUUUCAGCAGUAAAGUAGGGUCAGUAAUAUAGGCACUGGGGACACCAGGGUUGAACAGAAGAGGCAUCUCUGAUUAUGUUUUGUGGUGAGAUGGUAGGAAGAGACAGAUGUAAUCAGGGAAAGAAACAAAUGAACAAGGAUCUCACGCAGUGGUAACGUUACAGAGAAAAUAAAACAGGGACAACUUGUCAAGGACAUAAACAGAGAUCUCACUGAACAGAGAGAGCGCCUAUGGUUGUGGAUGGACAGAUCAAUAGUGUAGAGAAGAAAGUUCUCCUCAAAUUAAUCUAAAAUUCAAUGUAACACCAAUCAAAAGUCCAGAUGGAUUUCUUUUGUAGAACUCAGCAACUUCAUUCUAAAAUUUAUAAGGGUGAGUAAAAGUUCACGGAUUGCUAAGUCAGUUUUUUGGUGGGGGAGAGCAAAGAAAGCGGCUUGCCCUAUGACAAAUAUUUUUUAAUUAUGAUUUUACCACAGGAACAAAUAAAUGGACCAAUGGAUCAUAGUGAACAGUUCAAAAGAAGACCCAUGAAUUUAUGGAAAUGUGAAAUAUGACAAGGGUGGCAUCAUAAAUCGAUGGGACAAUGGAUGGUGAUACGGAAACUAGCUCACUAUAUGGAGCAAAGAAAACUGGACCUCUGCCUUGUGAUGAAGAUGAGCUCUAGAUGGAUUAAAAACCUAAACAGGAGAGGAGCAAUUCCCAGCAGGCCUGUUCCAGAGCGGCAAGUGUGAAAUGCAGCCUUCACGGUGGAUUACAGGCCUAAAGGAGGCCUGUCACCUCCAGGCGCGCAGGAGAGAGCGGGGUUAAUUCUGUUUCUCCCUGGGAGAAUUCCUUUCUGUGUCCAGCCCGUGGCCUGAGCAACACUUCCUGUCGCCACUGCCCAGUUUCCGUGACU
rnacentral:lncRNA from 1 species